rnacentral:misc_RNA from 1 species
AGUUUCGUAAACAUCCAGCCGGAGUGAGCGGAAUUACUGCACUGGUGUCCAAUAUUUCUGCGUGUAUGGAAAUUGGGGCCGGGUACCAGUGUGUACAGGUCGGUCUCUUUUUCUCCUCGUGGAAAUCGCCAUGAAGGCCCAAGGAAUGCUGAAGGAGUUCGAGGUGAUCGGUCGGGCCAUCCCGACCGACAAGCAGCCCCUGCCCGCGCUCUACAAGAUGCGCAUCUUUUCCUCAGAAGAGGUCUCAGCCAAGUCUCGCUUCUGGUACUUCAUCAAGAAGCUCAAGAAGAUCAAGAAGACCAGGGGAGAGAUCGUGUCUUGCAGGAAGAUCUACGAGACCAAGCCAACCAAGAUCAAGAACUUUGGCAUUUGGCUUCGCUACGACUCCCGCAGCGGCACCCACAACAUGUACAGAGAGUACCGUGAUCUGACCACUGCUGGGGCUGUCACUCAGUGCUACCGUGACAUGGGAGCUCGUCACCGUGCCAGAGCUAGCAGCAUCCAGAUCAUGAAGGUGGAGACGGUUUCGGCCAAGAAAUGCCGACGACCCAACAUCAAGCAGUUCCAUAACUCCAAGAUCAAGUUCCCGUUGGCUCACCGCACCCAGCGCACCUUCAGGCCCAUCUUCACCACCAGAAGGCCCAACACCUGCUUCAACUAGACACACCCUGCAAACACAGAAGGGUGCAUUACUGUCCGCCCCACACAGGGGUCAUGGUUGAAUAUAUACAGGGGUCAUGGUUGAAUAUACAGGGGUCAUGGUUGAAUAUACAGGGGUCAUGGGGUCAUUUGUAGACUCCAACACCAGUGGGUUAUAACUUGUGUCUGACAAGGUAUAUUACAGAGUUUGUAAUUCAGUCUGUGAAUAAAAGGCUUUGAAAUGAACAGCCAACAUAAACCCAA